CCUACGGGAGGCAGCAGUGAGGAAUAUUGGUCAAUGGGCGAGAGCCUGAACCAGCCAAGUAGCGUGAAGGAUGACUGCCCUACGGGUUGUAAACUUCUUUUAUACAGGAAUAAAGUGAGGCACGUGUGCCUCUUUGUAUGUACUUUAUGAAUAAGGAUCGGCUAACUCCGUGCCAGCAUCCGCGGUAAUACGGAGGAUCCGAGCGUUAUCCGGAUUUAUUGGGUUUAAAGGGAGCGUAGAUGGGUUGUUAAGUCAGGUGUGAAAAUUUGCGGCUCAACCGUAAGAUUGCAAUUGAUACUGGCAUUCUUGAGUACAGGUGAGGUAGGCGGAAUGCGUGGUGUAGCGGUGAAAUGCUUAGAUAUCACGAAGAACUCCGAUUGCGAAGGCAGCUUACUAAACUGCCACUGACAUUGAUGCUCGAAAGUGUGGGUAUCAAACAGGAUUAGAUACCCCUGUAGUC
rnacentral:rRNA from 1 species